rnacentral:rRNA from 1 species
UACAGAGGGUGCAAGCGUUAAUCGGAAUUACUGGGCGUAAAGCGUGUGUAGGUGGUUAGAUAAGUUAGAUGUGAAAUCCCCGGGCUUAACCUGGGCACUGCGUUUAAGACUGUUUAACUAGAGUACUGUAGAGGAUAGUGGAAUUUCCAGUGUAGCGGUGAAAUGCGUAGAUAUUGGAAGGGACACCAGUGGCGAAGGCGACUAUCUGGACAGAUACUGACACUGAGACACGAAAGCGUGGGGAGCAAACAGG